rnacentral:lncRNA from 1 species
AUACCCCUUCUCUGAUCCAUUUACAGGCCCCCUGCAGAAGGUCAUGAUGCCCUCAGUCUUUACACUUGAACUCUGGGACUCUCUAGUUACCUGGAGAAGAGGUGGCACUGUUUUCUAACAUGGAGACAGACACAACACAAACAAACAUAUAAAAGCUAAAAUCUGAAAAAGCAAGUAAAUAAGCAUGAUAAUUACCAACUUAUGCAAUAAAGGAUAUAGGCAAGGUGACGUCAGAAAGAGUAAUUUGGAGGUGGUGCUAUUUAAGAUAACAUCAUCAGGGAGGCCCUCCCGGAGACGGGGACAUUUGAGCUGAGAUGCAAAAGAUGGUAGACACACAAAGAGCAGAGAAGGGUAUGCCAGGAAGAGGGAGCAAGCCAAGACCCUCCAGCUAGUGGAGAGUUGGGGCCUGCAGGAACUGAAAGGCAGGAGGGCAGAAGGGCAGAGGUGCAAGCAGGGGCCACCUCCUGGAUGAGUUUAGAGACCAUGGUGAAGCCAAGUUAAAAGACAGACAUUAUAGAAAUAUGAUUGGACAAAGCAGGAUUUAAAAUGCUGUUUAAACAAUGCUAUUUUCUGUUGUGUCUGCUGUAUUCUAUAUUACAUUGCAUUUAACUAUAAAGAUAUUUUAGAGAGCAGGGGAGUGGAGGAGCCAAGAUGGCCGAAUAGGAACAGCUCUGGUCUACAGCUCCCAGCGUAAGCGACGCAGAAGACAGGUGAUUUCUGCAUUUCCAUCUGAGGUACUGGGUUCAUCUCACUAGGGAGUGCCAGACAGUGGGCGCAGGUCAGUGGGUGCGCGCACCGUGCG